rnacentral:rRNA from 1 species
AUUGAACGCUGGCGGCGUGCUUAACACAUGCAAGUCGAACGCGAAAGGGGGCUUCGGCUCCCGAGUAGAGUGGCGCACGGGUGAGUAACGCGUGGAUAAUCUGCCCUCUUGUUCGGGAUAACUGCUGGAAACGGCAGCUAAUACCGGAUAAGCUCUACCAAUUGUAUGGUGGAGGAAAGGAGGCCUCUUCAUGAAAGCUUCCGCGAGGGGAUGAGUCCGCGUCCCAUUAGCUAGUUGGUGAGGUAACGGCCCACCAAGGCAACGAUGGGUAGCCGGUCUAAGAGGAUGACCGGCCACACUGGAACUGAAACACGGUCCAG